CUUAUCGGUAAACAUUUGCCAACCUGCUCCUAGAUUGGGCCAGGAGAUCAGAAGGUCUUUCAGUUGGACUGCUGGGUUCCAGGACCCAGGUAAAUUUGUGAGGAAAAAUCUCUUCUACCUUUUCCUCUCUUUUCCUUUUUUUCUUUUUUUUUCACCUUCCUUUUCUCUUUCUUUAUACUCUGCAUCUGAUCCUCCUCCCCACCUUUACCUCUAACCUCAUCUCACUUUUUUUUAUCUUUUCUGGAUCUGAGAUGCUGGAGAAAUUGAGAAAGAGGCGGAAUGCUUCACACCAAAGCAACAUACUUUUCCCUGCUGUUAUGUGGUUAUAAGGAGACUAGAUCACUCCCUAGACACAGCUGCCCUAGUGUUUAAGAUGAGUCUCUUCCUCCAGAUGUUUAAAAAUAAAAGGUUAGUGUGCUAAUUGUCCCCAGAAGACAAAGACACUUCCUCUCUUAUGGUUUUCAUGCCCCAUCACGAAGUUUAUGAAUUGAAGUACAGGAAUCAUUAGUGAGGCUUCUUGUGAGGGCCUUUGCAGCUUAAUGAGAACUCUCAUUCUAUUUAUACCAAGUGGCGUUUUUCCAUUAAAAAAAAAUCAAAAUCAAAUUCUUUGUAAAUGGUUGCUUUUCUUUAUCAAUAGGAAAUUGAAUGUCAGUGGAAUCAACUUCGAACAUUUUCACAAAGCAUCUUUUUGGGUAUGAUGUGUGGCUAUUUCCCUGUGGCAAUCAGGCAGAGAAACCCAAGGAGAUGGACAAGAUCAGUAAAGGGGUGCAAAGCACGGGGGGAAGUGAGUUUCAAGUUUCUAGGUUCUUUGAAAAGGCUGUAGUAAUUUGGAGUAAAGAGUUGGUGGAUGGCUUAGUCUGAAGAUUUAAAAAUACUCCGAAUGCUUAGCUUAUUCCUGGUCAGAGGGUGUUUGCAUUUGAUGGAGCAUUACUUUCUAUCAUGCCGGACAACACUCUGCCAGCCUGGUAUGAGACCCUGCAGGAGUCAUCUCUCACAGCUACCUCCUUCUUUCCUAUCCUGUGGGUGCUUUCUUAGUUCAAGCCCUUAUCACUAUUUGCCUGGAGUAUUGGAACAGCCUGCAAAUUGGAAUCAUUGCUUUAAGUCUUGCCCCACUUCAAUCCAACAUUUGCCAAAGUAAUCUUCCAAAAGCCUCAGUCAGAUCCUGUUCCUCAUGGGCUCCCCAAACUUCCGCUGUACCUCCCUCCACUUGGCUCCAGCUAACACUCUUAUGGCGCUAAAGAUUACACACAUUAUCCCAUGUGAUCCCCAACAACCUAUAAAGUAGGCACUAUUAUUAUUAUCACCCCCAAUUUACAAAUAAGGAUAAAAUAUAAACUCUUAAUUUUGGCUUUUAGGGACCUUCGCAAUCUAGUUCCACUCACCCCUUUCAGUGUUGAUCACACUUUACUUUCCUGAACAUGCUUUUCCUUCUAGCCAAACUGAUCAGCUUAUUGUUUGCCAUAUGUGAAAUGCCAUCUCCCAUCGCUGGGUUUUUGUAGAGACUGCCCCUCAUGCUUGCAGUGCCAUUCCUUCCUAAUUUCUAGAAUGGCCAGUUUUCAUCAAAGCUCAGUUCAGGUUCCAAUUCCUACAGAAAACCUUCCUGAUCCUUCUUUCCCUCUUCCCCCCUCAGUUACUCUUCCUGGAAAUUACUUUGCAUUUCAUUUUCUAUGUAUAAGUUGUUCUCCACCCUCAAUAAAAUGCAGGAUCCUUAAGGAAAGGAAUUUAGUUUUUGUAACCCCAGAGCACCCCAUCAGCUAAUUGUUUAAGAAAUGCUUGUUGAAUAAAUGAGUGAAUCAAUGAAGUCUUCACAAUUCCCACUUGUGUAUUCACAUGCUCUGUACGUUCCCCUCCAGAGUAUUCCUACUUCACCAUCUAAGGAUCACAACAAUUAAUGAAAAUCUCGAUAACUGUGGAAGCCAUCACUUCAAUCAGCAACAAUAACAACCACAAAGGUCUUAUCUUGGCUUCCAAGAGAGCAAAAGAUCACACACCUUAACCCUAUCAUGCUCACCAAUAACAAGAGAGGGGGCAAAGUCACCUAGAAUUUUUCAUUUAAAAUAGGAAGUUCUCAUCGCUUGUACUUCAACAGUAACUUUCAGAAAAAGUACCACCAAGCAACCCAUAAGGUCGGAAAUGAUCACAUUCUCCUCCAAGACCAAGGAAGGGAAUAGUAGAACCAGAACAGGAUAAUUGACUUGAAGGAAAACAAAUGGAUCUUAUUUAUGGAAACAUCUUAGUCAAUUCUGCUUGGAAACCAAAUGAGAAAAAUAGAGGAAAGAAAAUAUGAUCAAAUUAUCAUGACUUACACCACAACGCUUAGAUCUGAGGUCAAGAAUUCUCUCUAGGGAAUGUGUGUGAGAAAGCAGACUCUCUGAAAUGAUCUGUCCAGGGUGCUGAACCCUCUGGUUGUCCAACCAUGGGGAAAAGGGUGUGAUGACUUACUUCUUAGUAGAUGAACUCCCUUUCUUAUUGAAAAUGAACAGGUCACAGUCUGACUCAGAUUCUCAGAAGAAAGAUCUAAACAAAGCGAUUCUGAUUUUCUCAUCCCAUGAGAUUCUGUGCCCUUCAAGAGACUGGCCAUCAUAUUGACUUUCUUCACUAGAGGGACACACAGGGUGGGAUUUGCCAGCUUUGUUAGUGAGUCAAGUUCAAGUGGACUGUGACUUGGGGCUAUCCCAAAGCAUUGCCAUAAGCAUUUUUUUUUAAAUUAGAUCUUAUAUAUGGUAAGAGCAGUCACAAGGAAAUAACAGUUUAAAGAAAAGUAUGUGUUGAAAUAAGCUUGAAAGAUAAUUUUUAAAGCCCCUGACCCUAUGUAAAAGAAGGGUGGGGUAGGGAUGAUUUCCUUGUCAAAAGUUAUCCAAUACAGCUAGAUCCCUAAUUAGCUCAUAGUAGGGGCUUAAUAAAGACUUGUUGAAUUGACUUGACUAUGAGCUUUGUACUUAAAAGGCAGUUAAUAAAAUUUUGUUUUAAUUAACUAAGAAUCAGCUAUUUUACAGAUAUAAAGUGAAAUGGAUCUAAUGGAUGGAUGCAAUAAAUACCACCUAUGUUUUUUUUAAUAAAAUCCCAAACAGGGAAUUAAAGGGAUAGACUAAAUUCAAGCCAUUAAAAAACACCAUUCUUUUGUUCUCUGAUGACAACAGCCAAUAUUAUUUAUCCAAAUGUUUAUGCUAAAGUAGAAACAAAUUAUAUGAUCUUUUCUAAUUCCAUUUCAGAGAAAUCAAGGAUCUCCGGAGGAAUCCAGAAAUGAGGAGGCAAAAUUUCAAUAGAUAAGGGAUUUUCUUUUGGGACUGGUGAAUUCUUAGAUGAUAUGUCAGCAGAGGAGUCCCUACUUUGAUAUGGGGCUUAAAGUCUGCAAAGGUUUGUGGUUUACAGUAUUAAAUUAUAGAAAGCAGAGCAGAGAUUAAUUUUGGGAAUUAGAAGUAAUUUGUGUUCUCAUGGCUAGGUCAGUUCAUAUGAAACAUUGUAGGAACCAAUGGUAGAUGUCAUUUAGAUAGGAUGAUGUUUGGAUGAGGUACAUAUAGUAUGGGAAGAAGAAAGAUAUCAACAUAGAAUAUGAUGAUAGUAAGUGAAGAAGAGGAAGAGCAUCCCAAACUGUCAAGGCAGCCCUUUGAAAAUCUGUUUAACUCAUGACAUCUUUGAGUGGGAUGCAAAGGGAGAAGGAAAGCUGAAAGGAAGGAAGAAUGGGACUAGACAACACUAGAGUCUCUCUCCUCUAGGAGUCAAUGAUCCUGGGGAUCUUUUCUGGGACACUCAACUGGAGGGACCAUCUCCAUUCAAACUCUCCAUGUCUUUGCAGAUACUGGGAUUCAUCUUUGUUCUGAUACCAGGUAAGGGGCAGCCAAACCUUGUGCUGUGGUAAGAAGGGUGUCCCUCUUCACUGUUGUACCUUUUCAUUUUACUUUGAAAUGACUCAACAGGACAGAUUCUGGCCCACAUUUCAGAGAUUCCAAGACAUAGUGUCAACCUAGGGACUUUAGGGAGUUUGGAUUUAUUUUCAUUAGGACUAAAGUAAUCAGAGACCCCUUCCUCUCAACAAACUGUGGUUUCAGGAUAUUUCCAAAUUAGCUUAGUGUCUAAGAAGACAUUGGGAUUGAGGAAUUUUAGGGUGACUCAUAUCCAAAUCUGGUGAGAUAUGAGCAGAAAAAAAUCACCUCAGAAAUGCUGGUCCUGACAGAAUGAUGUAGACUUUGGUCAAGAAAAGGGGUUUAUUCCCAUUUUUUCUUCUACUGAAUUAUAUAACACUAAUAGAUUAUAAAGUUAGAGAAUGUUUAAUUUAUUUUUGUGUCCCUCACAGCAUCUAGCAUAAUAAGGGUGCAAUUAUUUGUGGAGGAAGGACAAAGCAAGAAGGAAGGGAGGGAAGAAGGAAAGGAGGAAAAGAAGAAAAGAAGGAAGGGAGGGAGCAAAGAGAAAAAGGAGAUAAGGAAAGAAGAAAGGUAUAAAAAGGAAGGAUGAAGGAAAGGAAGAUAGAAGGAAUGGAGGGAAGGAAAAGAAGGAAGAAAGGAAAAAGGAAAAGGAAGGAAGGAAGGAGGGAAGGAGGGAGGCAAGAAGGAAAGGAUCUGUUAAUAUUUGUAAAUUGCUUGGCCGAACUUAAAGUGCUAUUAAAAAUGCCAGAUAUUCUUACUGUUAUUUGUGGUACAAAUGCUCAUAGAUACUUUUUUCUGCAAAUGCACUGGUAAGGGAAGCCUAAGUAUUUAUGGAUGGGGAGGAAUACUACCAGACCAGGCACAGGGGAAUGUGGGGGCUGGGGGAAGUGUAGUCAUUUUUGAUUAAAUCCAAUCGAUUUGUUUACUGAGAAGCGGCCUGGGGGUGGGGAGGGGAGGAUCUAGGAUUGCAGCACCCUGGACAGCUUCUUCAAAAACAAACAAAAGCCUACAACUUGUCUGACUUCCUAGAAGAACUGGAGGAAAUGCCGGAGGCCCUCAGAGUUUCAGUGACUUGUUUCCAGAGACUAGAGGCAGCAUUUGACUUCCAAGACUCACAGCACAGUGUUCUAUCCAUCCCACCAUCCUGUCCAGUUAAAACCAAUACCAAGUUUUCAAAUUUUCUUUGAAAUGUAUAAUUCUUAUCUCUGGGGGUGAGGAGGAUGGCUCCCCCCCUUCAGGCUUACAUCUUCCACCACUCCUUACUCAUGAAAAGGAUGAACCCACACUGAUGUGCCGUGGUCCACCUCCGCUUCUGAUGUCAUCACCUGUAACACUGAGUUACUGUUUCUAUUAGAAUAAGGCAACAAGCUCAACAAAUGGUCUGUAGCAUAAGUCAGGUAGGGGUUUGUGCAGACAUGCCCGGCUUCAGAGAGAACACCCAUACUUGCAGCUGCCCAGGUCCCAGCUCAGCUCUCCAGGAGCCCCCCUCACUGUGUGCUCUGGGGGUCCUGCUUCUUGGGCUGUUCUUUCAACAUGUAAGAAAAGAAGUCCUAACGAUGGACCCAACCGAUGUUUCUCUCUCUUUCUCCUGAGCUCUCGCUCCUGCCCUUCCAGCAGAAUUGCUCCCUGUGCAAAUGGAGCUGGAUUCAAGAUAAGGUCAAGCCAAGACUGGAAUAUGGGCCUGGACUUUUACCAGAAUUUGCUGGAGGAUCCGAAUCGGAAAUUUACUCCUUUCCUAAAACCUGCGAAGCUGUUUGUGAACGAAUCUUGUACACAGUCAGGCUGAAUCUUUCUAAGGUUCCUUCCAGAUGAAGACUUACAGUCCGAGAAGGUUUACAAAAAUAUUAUUGGAUGCUGCAAAUAUUUAGAGAAAAUGCUAGUAAAAGGAAUUUCAGUCCGGUACCUAACCAGUCAACUGGGAAUCUUUGGAACAUUCUGCCAAUGGGGUAGGAACAAGCUUGUUUGAACAGAAGUGGAUCUAAAGGAGAACCUAUUUUUCAUUUCAGAACCGUUAUCUACCACCAUAAUAUGGUACAACCAUUAUAGGCACAGUUGGGUGAAGCCCAUAGAGGGUAUGGGUAGAACAUGUUAUCCUAGCUUCCUUAUUUCCCCCAGAAAACUGAUCUCCACCUGGGAAGUUGGGGCUCACUUAAAGAGAGAGAGCUAGUAGCAGUUCACCAAAGUGUAUAUAUGGACAAGAAAGGGAUCCUACUUCUUUCCCACAAGACCAGAGGGAGAAACGCUUAUUGCUUUGGGCAACAUUGAUUCCUGAGCUAAGCACCAACUGUAUACAAGCAGCUUCCUAGACAAAAGCCUAGGUUAACACCAAAGAAAUUCUGCCCAUAAAUUUCAGUAGAUGUAGGCAAAGCAUGUUUUCUUCUUAAUGUAUCACUGGGAAAUGUGGUUGGCAAGAGAGAGGAAGACUCCUGGGAGUCUUUAGCAGGGUGUAAAUUCUUUGCAAAAUUUUAAGUCAGGAAGGAGACUCUAUGGGGUAUCUGUCAACUAUAUCAUAUCACUUAUUUAAUGAUCCUGUCAUUUCCCUUUUCCCCCCAUUAAUUCUACAGGCUUUACUGGCGCAAAUUUCAGGAUUAAAAAGAAAAGCUUCUGUUUAGACUUCACGAUCUUGCCCCUUCUCCCCACAUUCUCUAGGUUUACUGGCCUUCUGGCUGCUUCCCCACAAGACACUCCAUCUCCCAAGUCCUUAUUUUCCCUGGGUUUCCCCCCAUUUCUGGAAUGUUCUCCAUCCUGAGCUUCCUGGCUUCUUCCACAAUGGGUCAAUUCCUGAUCCUUCCCACUGAGUGCCAAUGGUUUCCCUCCAGCUCCUCCGUCUCUAUCUUGUGUACAACACAGUUGUUUCCCAUUGUCAUUCCCAUUAGAAUGUGAGUUCCAAAAGGGAAUGACCCAGAGCUUAGAAAGGUAUCUGGCCCAGAAGAAUACCUAAAAAAUGCUUGUUGUCUAACUUCCCACGGUGUAUUGAGAGCACUAUAGUAUGGCUGGAGGGAUCAGAGAACUGAGACAAAACAGGGUCCCCACCCUAAGGAUCACACCAUCUAAAAAGGGAUCAAGAAAAAAGUGCAGGGGACCAUUGCUGUUCUAUUGUUUUUCAGUCCUAUCUGACUCUUUGUGACCCCAUUUGGGGUUUUCUUGGCAAAGAUAUUGGAGGGGUUGGCCAUUUCCUUCUCCAGCUCAUUUUACAGAUGAGGGAACUGAGGCAAACAGAGAGAAAUGACUUGCCGGGAGUCACAAAGCUAGAAAGUGCCAGAGUCUGGAUUUGAACUCAUAGAGAGAAGUCCUGUCUAUAAGUCUGUAUCUUAUGGCGUGCCCCAGAUGACCCAACCAUCACAUGAUCAGUACAUUAAAAAGUCACAACCCCAAAUGCUGGGAGUGGGAAGUUGUUCUCUGUUCCUGGUCUGCUUGUAAGACUUUUUUUUUUUCUAUUCUCUAUUAUUUGGGGCUGUGGUGGAUGAUGAAUGGUUGUCUCCUGUUCUGUUCAUUCAGUCUGUCUGCCUCUGAGGUGAUCCUGGUGAUCACUACCUUCACUGAGCUCAUUAUCAUUAAAAUUCUAAAUAAUGAAGAAGAUGUGGAUCU
rnacentral:lncRNA from 1 species